UACGUAGGGGGCAAGCGUUGUCCGGAUUUAUUGGGCGUAAAGAGCGUGUAGGCGGCUUUACAGGUCCGUUGUGAAAACUCGAGGCUCAACCUCGAGACGCCGGUGGAAACCGUAAAGCUAGAGUCCGGAAGAGGAGAGUGGAAUUCCUGGUGUAGCGGUGAAAUGCGCAGAUAUCAGGAGGAACACCCGUGGCGAAAGCGGCUCCUCUGGGACGGUACUGACGACUGGAGGAGCGAAAGCGUGGGGAGCGAACAGG
rnacentral:rRNA from 1 species